GGAAGGAUCAUUCACAAACGAGUGUUUUAUGGCACUCUUUAAAAAUCCAUAUCCACCUUGUGUGCAAUGUUUGUUGGGAAAGUCUUUUCUUUCCCUUCAUAAAUAUCAACCUAUAUCUUUAACAACAUUCGUCUGAUAACAUAUUAUGAAUAUACUUAAUUCAAAAUAUAACUUUCAACAACGGAUCUCUUGGCUCUCGCAUCGAUGAAGAACGCAGCGAAAUGCGAUACGUAAUGUGAAUUGCAGAAUUCAGUGAAUCAUCGAAUCUUUGAACGCAUAUUGCGCUCUUUGGUAUUCCGAAGAGCAUGCUUGUUUGAGUAUCAGUAAACACCUCAACCUCUCUUUUUGACAAAAAAAGAGAGGGUGGACUUGAGCUAUCCCAACGACCUUCACCGGUAGGCGGGCGGCUUGAAAUGCAGGUGCAGCUGGACUUUUAUCUGAGCUAAAAGCAUAUCUAUUUAGUCCUCGUCAAACAGGAUUAUUACUUUUGCUGCAGCUAACAUAAAGGAUAAUUGUCCUCUUUGCUGACUGAUGCAGGAUUUUACGACACUUUAUGUGUUGUUCAACUCGAUCUCAAAUCAAGUAAGACUACCCGCUGAACUUAAGCAUAUCAAUAAGCGGAGGAAAAGAAACUAACAAGGAUUCCCCUAGUAACGGCGAGUGAAGCGGGAUGAGCUCAAAUUUGAAAUCUGGCUGGUUUACUAGUCCGAGUUGUAAUUUAAAGAAGCGUUUUCGGUGGCAGCCUGGGUAUAAAUCCUUUGGAAUAGGGUAUCAUAGAGGGUGAGAAUCCCGUCUUUGACCUAGUGCAUGCUACUAUGUGAUACGUUUUCAAAGAGUCGAGUUGUUUGGGAAUGCAGCUCAAAAUGGGUGGUAAAUUUCAUCUAAAGCUAAAUAUUGGCGAGAGACCGAUCGCGAACAAGUACCGUGAGGGAAA
rnacentral:rRNA from 1 species